GAAAUGCGAUAAGUAAUGUGUAUUGCAGAAUUCAGUGAAUCAUCGAAUCUUUGAACGCACAUUGCGCCCGCCAGUAUUCUGGCGGGCAUGCCUGUUCGAGCGUCAUUUCAACCAUCAAGCCCCCGGCUUGUGUUGGGGACCUGCGGCUGCCCGCAGGCCCUGAAAAACAGUGGCGGGCUCGCUGUCACACCGAGCGUAGUAGCAUACAUUCUCGCUCAGGGCGUGCUGCGGGUUCCGGCCGUUAAACGACCUUCAUAACCCAAGGUUGACCUCGGAUCAGGUAGGAAGACCCGCUGAACUUAAGC
rnacentral:misc_RNA from 1 species